GAUGAACGCUAGCUACAGGCUUAACACAUGCAAGUCGAGGGGAAACGAUAUUGGAAGCUUGCUUCCGAUAGGCGUCGACCGGCGCACGGGUGAGUAACGCGUAUCCAACCUGCCCAUCACUUGGGGAUAACCUUGCGAAAGUAAGACUAAUACCCAAUGACGUCUCUAGAAGACAUCUGAAGGAGAUUUAAAAGAUUUUAUCGGGUGAUGGAUGGGGAUGCGUCUGAUUAGCUUGUUGGCGGGGUAACGGCCCACCAAGGCGACGAUCAGUAGGGGUUCUGAGAGGAAGGUCCCCCANAUUGGAACUGAGACACGGUCCAAAACUCCUACGGGGAGGCAGCAGUGAGGAAUAUUGGUCCAAAUGGGCGAGAGCCUGAACCAGCCAAGUAGCGUGCAGGAUGACGGCCCUAUGGGUUGU
rnacentral:rRNA from 1 species